GAUGAACGCUAGCGGCAGGCCUAACACAUGCAAGUCGAGGGGUAACAGGGAAAAGCUUGCUUUUCCGCUGACGACCGGCGCACGGGUGCGUAACGCGUAUGCAACCUACCUUUUACAGGAGUAUAGCCCAGAGAAAUUUGGAUUAAUCCUCCAUAAUAUCUUAAUCAUGCAUAUGAUAAAGAUUAAAGCUUCGGUGGUAAAAGAUGGGCAUGCGUUUUAUUAGCUAGUAGGUGAGGUAACGGCUCACCUAGGCCACGAUAAAUAGGGGCCCUGAGAGGGGGAUCCCCCACACUGGUACUGAGACACGGACCAGACUCCUACGGGAGGCAGCAGUGAGGAAUAUUGGACAAUGGACGAAAGUCUGAUCCAGCCAUGCCGCGUGCAGGAUGACGGCCCUAUGGGUUGUAAACUGCUUUUAUACAGGAAGAAACACUCCCACGUGUGGGGGCUUGACGGUACUGUACGAAUAAGGAUCGGCUAACUCCG
rnacentral:rRNA from 1 species